rnacentral:rRNA from 1 species
UACAGAGGGGGCAAGCGUUAUUCGGAAUUAUUGGGCGUAAAGGGCGCGUAGGCGGCCUGGCAAGUGGAAGGUGAAAUCCCUCGGCUUAACCGAGGAACUGCCCUCCAAACUGCUUGGCUUGAGUCCGGGAGAGGUGAGUGGAAUUCCGGGUGUAGCGGUGGAAUGCGUAGAGAUCCGGAAGAACACCAGUGGCGAAGGCGGUCGUGCUGGGCAGUGGGAGCUUC